rnacentral:sRNA from 12 species
CUUGUGGAGAGUAUACAAAGAUGUGAGUAGUAUUUGAAUUUAUUCAAUGCAAAAACAUACUCGAUGGAGCAAGAA